GUGGGGAAUAUUGGACAAUGGGCGAAAGCCUGAUCCAGCCAUGUCGCGUGUGUGAAGAAGGUCUUCGGAUUGUAAAGCACUUUAAGUUGGGAGGAAGGGCAGUAAGCUAAUACCUUGCUGUUUUGACGUUACCGACAGAAUAAGCACCGGCUAACUCUGUGCCAGCAGCCGCGGUAAUACAGAGGGUGCAAGCGUUAAUCGGAAUUACUGGGCGUAAAGCGCGCGUAGGUGGUUCGUUAAGUUGGAUGUGAAAGCCCCGGGCUCAACCUGGGAACUGCAUCCAAAACUGGCGAGCUAGAGUACGGUAGAGGGUGGUGGAAUUUCCUGUGUAGCGGUGAAAUGCGUAGAUAUAGGAAGGAACACCAGUGGCGAAGGCGACCGCCUGGACUGAUACUGACACUGAGGUGCGAAAGCGUGGGGAGCAAACAGGAUUAGAUACCCCAGUAGUCC
rnacentral:rRNA from 1 species